CUGCCUUUAUGAAAGUUUUUUACGAUAGCACCAACAGUCUAGGAGUUACGGUAAUUUGAAGCCCGCCUGCAAAUGUGUGACCCAGCCAGUAACUCUUGUCUGCGAUUGGACGGUACUAUCUCCCUGUACUGAGCAGCUACCGUAAUGCCCAGUAUAUGAGCUCAAUGCUCCCAUUGUCUGCUUUUA